rnacentral:rRNA from 1 species
CGAUAAAUAAACCCCGCGGGCUUACCCCCGGAAACUCCCAUGGCCCCCCCCCGGGUACGAUUAUUGGCCGAGGGGGGUAAACUUCCACCCCGUAGCACCUAAAUGCGUAAAUAUGGUGGGGGAAAACCGGGGGGAGAAGGCUCCCCCCUGGGCCAAACCUUACGUUAAUGCACGAAAACGUGGGGGACCCACGAGGAUUAUACCCGAUGGUAGUCCACCCCACUAGAAGAAUUAAAUAGUUGUCGGGUAUCAUUUACGUGGUCCGAAACUAACGCGUGAAAUGGCCCCCCUGGGGAUACCGGUCGCAAAAUAAAACUCAAAGGUAUUGGGGGGGACCCCCACAAGCGGUGCAUGAGGUGUAUAAUUCGAUGCGACGCGAAAACCUUACCUACCCUUGACAUGUGCGAACCAUGAUGAGAGGUGAGGGUGCCCGAAAGGGAGCCGUACCACAGGUACUGCAUGACUGUCGUCAGCUCGUGUCAUGAGAUGUUGGGUUAAGUCCCGCAACGAGCGCAACCCUUGUCCCUAGUGCCUACGCAAGAGCACUCUAGGGAGACUGCCGGUGACAAACCGGAGGAAGGUGGGGAAGACCUCCACUCCUCAUGGGCCUUAUGGGUAGGGCUUCACACGCCAUACAAUGGUCGGAACAGAGGGUCCCAAGCACCGAGGUGGAGACCAAUCCCAGAAAACCGAUCGUAGUCCGGAUCGCAGUCUGCAACUCGACUGCGUGAAGCUGGAAUCGCUAGUAAUAGCGGAUCAGCAUGCCCCGCCCCAUCCGUUCCCGGGUCUGUACACACCGCCCUUCACACCAUGGGAGUGGUUUUACCAGAAGUGGCUAGUCUAACCUAAAGGUGGAGUGUCUCCACAUCUCAGCUCUUGGCGAAUGUG